UUGGUGACAGAAAUUUCUGACUCCAGUGCCUAAGUUUACCGCUAAUAGUUGGCAUUUUCUGGCUAUUUGGCAGACUGGAAGCCAUCCAUCCAUCAUGGGAGACGUCAGCAUUUGUAUAGAUUUUCUUUUUCUUUUUUUCACUACAAAAUUUAUAGUCAGUGGUAACCAGUGUUUGUGGGGAAAUGGGUUCAGCAUGGAUUCUGUAGACAGAACCCAUCCUUCAGAAUAAACUGUCGGGUAGUGAACCACUGCCCUUCACCCUUUGCCUCAUGUUAUUAGUUACAGAAAGCAUUUGUAACCAAGGUAGCAAACAGCAGGGCUCUUGCAAAUCUGUAUACCUAGAGGGACAUGGAGUAGAGUAAGGACCCAGGACAGGGACAUCAAGGUUUAGAGGUUGUGUCUCAAACCACACAGUACCUCGGGAACCAAGAGGACACACACUGUCCUGGUGUAUGUCUCCAGAUGACACACACUGUUCGAUGCCCUUCCAUCAGAAUCAGGAACUUUGUCAUCCCACUCAAGACUUCUCUGGCUAUGAUGAUGUCUGGUUCUACCUGUCCCUUCUUUGGUGCUAAUAAUCAUUGCCUCUUUCUAACCACAAGGCUCUGGAACACAGAUGCACCGUCUCCAGUGAGCAGCCAGUACAGGGUGAGCAAAGGAGGGACCAUGAUAGGAAAAAGAGCUAAAUGAAAACUUUGGAAGGGUCUCUGGUCAGAAAUCAAGGUCCUAUCCAUAGACCACUAAUAGGAUUGUGUGUCUUUUCAGUGCCUGGGGAUUGACCCUAGAGCAUGCUGGGUAAGAGUUGGGCUGUGUUCCAGCUAAUCCUCUUUUGCUUUUUGUUCUUGUAAAAUUAAAAAAAAAAAAAAAAA
rnacentral:lncRNA from 1 species